CACGAUUCCGGAGGUUCGUAUAAAAGCGAUGGAUUCAAGUUGAAUCCAUUUCCACAUCAUCCUGCGAUUCUCCCGGUGAAGUCCGACCGAGGUUCAGCGACGGUGAAGCAACAGCUCGCAUCUGAGAAGAACACCUAAAACCGAGUUGAUUGAAGGUUGUAACUUCAUAUCUAGGGUUUACCCUAUUUCCAAAUCAGACGAUCGACUCCAAGGUUUGAAGAACUAGAAUCGAAGUUUGAUUUAAGGUUAGAUUUCGACAUUUAUGUGAUUUUUUUCUUCUUUGGAACCAUGUUCUUACUGUAAUGUAAAUUCGGUUUCAGUUUUUCUUCUUCUUCUUCUUCUUCUUCUUCUUCUUCUUCUUCUUCUUCUUCUUCUUCUUCUUCUUCUUCUAUGGUGAAACAAUAUAUGAUUAUG